CUGCUCUCCACACCACACAAGGGUUUCCAGCAUUCCCACCUAUCUCAUGUUGCACCCGGGUGGUUAAUUACUUCACCAAACACCUGGGGAAACGGGUCACGAAAGUGGAGAUUCAGAAAACUAAUCACUGCACGAUCAAGGCCGUUGUGCUUCACAUACGCAAACGUAAGCUUUGCGUGGAUCCCAAUAACAAGGUUCUGAAAAAGUGGCUGAAGGCGAGAAAGAUCCCCAUGUGAGGGUGUGCGAGCGACGACCAGGACGAGGGGAGGGGAAGGGGAGAUCCCGGAUGGAAGUGAACCCCAACCACGGAAAGCCCACAUGUGCCACUUGCUCCGAGGCCUUCAGUCAUCCAGACACACAGGCCUCUCGCCUACACCUGUCCCGAGCACCAACUGAGCGCAGUGAUUCGGGCAGGACUGCACUUUAAGACACUCACACUGUGAAACGUUCUGUACACGCCUUAUACACGCCUCUUACACACUCUGUACAUGUGUGCAAUGCAAUAUUUAUCACCGUUGUUGGUCAGACCGAUUUAAUAAAUAACAGUUUUUGUUAA